UUUAACUGAAGAGUUUGAUCAUGGCUCAGAUUGAACGCUGGCGGCAGGCUUAACACAUGCAAGUCGAGCGGAGAGAGGUAGCUUGCUACUGAUCUUAGCGGCGGACGGGUGAGUAAUGCUUAGGAAUCUGCCUAUUAGUGGGGGACAACAUUUCGAAAGGAAUGCUAAUACCGCAUACGUCCUUCGGG
rnacentral:rRNA from 1 species